GACGAACGCUGGCGGCGUGCUUAACACAUGCCAGUCGAACGGAAAGACCCUGCUUUUGUGGGGUGCUCGAGUGGCGAACGGGUGAGUAACACGUGAGUAACCUGCCCUUGACUUUGGGAUAACUUCAGGAAACUGGGGCUAAUACCGGAUAGGAGCUCCUGCUGCAUGGUGGGGGUUGGAAAGUUUCGGCGGUUGGGGAUGGACUCGCGGCUUAUCAGCUUGUUGGUGGGGUAGUGGCUUACCAAGGCUUUGACGGGUAGCCGGCCUGAGAGGGUGACCGGCCACAUUGGGACUGAGAUACGGCCCAGACUCCUACGGGAGGCAGCAGGGGGGAAUAUUGCACAAUGGGCGGAAGCCUGAUGCAGCAACGCCGCGUGCGGGAUGACGGCCUUCGGGUUGUAAACCGCUUUCGCCUGUGACGAAGCGUGAGUGACGGUAAUGGGUAAAGAAGCACCGGCUAACUACGUG
rnacentral:rRNA from 1 species